rnacentral:rRNA from 1 species
GACGAACGCUGGCGGCGUGCUUAACACAUGCAAGUCGAACGGAAAGGCCCUGCUUUUGUGGGGUGCUCGAGUGGCGAACGGGUGAGUAACACGUGAGUAACCUGCCCUUGACUUUGGGAUAACUUCAGGAAACUGGGGCUAAUACCGGAUAGGAGCUCCUGCUGCAUGGUGGGGGUUGGAAAGUUUCGGCGGUUGGGGAUGGACUCGCGGCUUAUCAGCUUGUUGGUGGGGUAGUGACUUACCAAGGCUUUGACGGGUAGCCGGCCUGAGAGGGUGACCGGCCACAUUGGGACUGAGAUACGGCCCAGACUCCUACGGGAGGCAGCAGUGGGGAAUAUUGCACAAUGGGCGGAAGCCUGAUGCAGCAACGCCGCGUGCGGGAUGACGGCCUUCGGGUUGUAAACCGCUUUCGCCUGUGACGAAGCGUGAGUGACGGUAAUGGGUAAAGAAGCACCGGCUAACUACAUG